rnacentral:rRNA from 1 species
AUGGACAUGGAGCGGGGCCCAGAGGAGGUCGCUCUUGGGGCUCUUGGGCUCGCCGGCUUCUGCCGCAAGACCCUCCGCGUCGUGCGCUCCCGUCCUCCAGGCUUCGCCUUCUUGGCCGGCGGAGUGACCAUGCUCACCCUGUCCUUGCUCGCCCACAUCGCCAUCUCCCGCUCCCUCUUCCCCGACGCCUUCGGCUCCUCCCACGCUGGCGCCGGCCUCCUCCGUCUCGCCACGAACUGGGCACCCUUCUUCCUCCUAGAGGUCGCCUACCUCCUCGUCAUCGUCGUCCAGUGGCUCGGCGCCACCAUCUGCUGCGUCUUCUCCGUCGCCCCGCGCUACGGCGUCACCGACGACCGCGAUACCGGCGACCUCCGUACCAUCCCCAGGUUCCGAGGGGACUCCCGCAGCGCCGCGCUCCAGGUUGCCGGGCGCCUCGCAGCCAUCUGCCUCCUGCUCCUCGGCUACACCGCCCUCACCGGCGCCUCCGCCUGGCUCGCGCACGGCCACCUCCUCAACGCUGCUCCCGGUGAGAAGAGCGGCGUGAAGCUGGCGCGGGUAGCACUGCCACUGCUGGGCGGCGUCGUGUACUUCGCCGGGGCUAGGCACAUCGGCUUGGUGUGGCGCGUCGCCUCCGUGAUGGUGGUGCUGGAGGACGCCUGGAGCUUCCGCGCCCUGCACAUGAGCGAGGAGCUCCUCCACCUCGCCCGCAUGUCCUGGGCCCCGGCCGCCGUCUUGACGCUCGACGGGUGCAUCCUGGCCGUGCAACUGGCCUUCGGCGCGCUGGUGGUCGACGACGUGAUGGGCCUCGGCGUCUGGCUCCGAGUGGCCGCGGGGGUGGUGAUGGCGGUGGCGCUGUGGGCGGCGGUGAUGGCAGGGAUGGUGGCGCAGGUGCUGCUGUUCUUUGUGUGCAAGAGCUACCACCGCGAGAGAGAGCUUUGA